CAGCCGCCGCGGUAAUACGAAGGGGGCUAGCGUUGCUCGGAAUGACUGGGCGUAAAGGGCGCGUAGGCGGAUUGCAUAGUCAGGCGUGAAAUUCCUGGGCUCAACCUGGGGACUGCGUUUGAUACGUGCGAUCUAGAGUUUGGAAGAGGGUCGUGGAAUUCCCAGUGUAGAGGUGAAAUUCGUAGAUAUUGGGAAGAACACCGGUGGCGAAGGCGGCGACCUGGUCCUUGACUGACGCUGAGGCGCGAAAGCGUGGGGAGCAAACAGGAUUAGAUACCCCAGUAGUCCCUGUCUCUUAUAC
rnacentral:rRNA from 1 species